CUGAUCCAAGCAUGAGAAUGAUGUUGUGAGCCGCACAUGCAUCCAAUCUUUUGGAGUCAUCCACACGAGCCCACGAAUCACGAUCAGAAGUCUUGAUCCAGGAAAUCAGUACAGUAUGCUAGUACUGUGCUAAUCCUUCUUCGAUGGUCGAUCAGAUGCCUCCUUCUUCUUAAUUUGGACUCUUUCAAAGAUGAAAAGUAUGAGAAGGAGUUUUAAAUAUGAUGCACUCUUAGAAAACUCAUAGAU
rnacentral:lncRNA from 1 species